ensembl:snRNA U1 U1 spliceosomal RNA
CUGAUUUCUUGGUUGGGCCCAGACAAGAAGCCUGCCAAUCUCUGGUAACAGUGCUCCCAGGGCGAGGCUCGUCCAUUUCACUGCGGCAGUGCUAACCCCUGCGACUUCCCCAUAUGGGGAAACUCAACUGUAGAAUGUGUGGUAGUGGGGACUGUGUGCUCGCUCUCCCCU